AACCUGGUGAGGUGAAACUUGGAUCAUGAAGGAUUGUGAGUUGUUGGCCUGUUCAGAGUGCUGAAGGAGCAGGAAUCGGCAGCCUUUCCUGCUGGGCUUCACUUGAAAUUCAGGGUUUCUAACCAUUCCUUUGUUUUUGGGGUCAGUAUGAGAAGCAUGUUGGUAACACUUGUUGGUAUUUCAGUUUUGCCAAGGAAUGCUUGUGGUCAGUCAAGGACUCUUCAUCUUCCUGUGCUGUGCUGGGUGAGGAGCUGCACAACAACCUGAGAGGGAGCAGAGCCAGGACAGCUGACCAAAGGGACCCUCCAUCCCACAGGAUAUCCAGUGGGGGGGAGUUGGCUGAGGGGGAUCACUGCUGGGGAACUAGCUGGGCCCCAGGCAGUGGUUGGGCACCGGGGAAGGGUAGGGUGGUGCUCAGUAAAGCCAGCAGGCAGAAGAGGACUUAGAAGAAGGAUGAGUAUGGAAAACAUCUUCACAAAGAGCUGGAAGACCCCCCACAAGAUUUACCACAGGAUGACCUCCAGCAGCUUCUGAGACACUUCUGCACAGAGGACUGGAAACAGGAGGCAAAGAGAGAAGCUGCCACCCCUCAACAACACAAGGUAACCACCAUCCGGUGGACAGCAAUCACCUCCAGGAUUGGACAUGAGCCUGUCCCUCGCCUGUCCCUCGCCAAGGUUGCCCCUUCUCUGAUACAUGCAGGGGGGAUUGGAAGGUCAGAACCAAACCCUCCUGUACUUGUGAGCCCUCUUAGCACUGAGGGAGCACUUGGUGUCUUUUGACCAAGUGGUGUUUCAAGAGCAAGUGCUCACGAUCCUGGCAAGUCAUUUUCUGUUCAUUCUUGAUCUAUCUCUAUAUAAUAUGUAUUUAUUUCUAAACUGACCCUCUGAAAACCAUGGUAUCAGGUCUGCACUUUCAUUUUCACAAAAGAGAACGGAGAUCUGAUAUUUUGGGUGUCCUGUAACAGUGUUUCAUGGAGGGAGCAUGGCAGUGUUUUAGUGUGUGUAAUACCCCUCCCCCCCACACACACCCACCCCCAAACACCACUGCUUUUCAACAGCUCUUUGCUUCUUUAUUAAUAUGCUCAAAACUAGAGCAGAACAAACCCUCUAGCAGCAGAACUUUUCCCAAGCUUUCCUGGCCUUCUACUGUUAUAAGGCAGUUUGGUUUUUUUAAUUGCCUUGCUUGGUGCUCAGAAUGAGGGCUCUUCCUCAUGAAGGUAAGGAUGCCAAAAGCAGGGAAACAUCCUGGAAGCUCUGGCUUCCUGCAGGCAAAACAACCCUUGGGGCCUUGCUAAUGCUUUGUUUUGGCAGGCAGGAAAAAACCCAAAAGCCACAAGAAGAAGCCAACCCACCAACAAACCAAGUGUUUUGGCAACCGAACCAAAUGUGACCCAUGACAAAAUGUUUCACAACAUCUUGGCUUGAUCACCAGAGUCAGCACAGGGUGAGCUUCAAGGAGGGGGUCUAAGAAAUGCAUUUUUGUUGUGUCACUUGUGCUGCAGAAGUUAUUCUGUGUCACAACAUCAUGCUUGUUUUCCUCUUACUUGGAGUGGUUUUGCUGUGUUAUCCAAGGACUUGGAAUCCUGUGAGAAGUGCCUUUUAACUUGAUCUAUCAGCAUCUUGUUCCCAGGGUGAUAACGCUAAUUGUAUGUAUUGAAAAUAAGUAAAUAAAACCACUAACAAGGCAGAGCUGCAAGGUGUACAAGGGCUGAUUUAACUAAAUAAAGAUGUACAGGUGUUCAAUGUAGAAA